AAGACUAUACUUUCAGGGAUCAUUUCUAUAGUUUUUAACUGGAGAAAUGUGCUCGAAAGUGGUCAAACUCAGUAACCACGUUGAGGACUUUUAGUAUUCUCUUCUGAGCGUGAAGUGGGUAGCUAAUGCUGUAAUUUUACAGCUGUUGGUUGCCUUUGAUGAUCGUUCUUCUCUCUGUUUAUGGAGGGUUAGAGGGAGAGAAUACGAGCUGAGUGGU